rnacentral:rRNA from 1 species
AGAGUUUGAUCCUGGCUCAGGAUGAACGCUAGCUACAGGCUUAACACAUGCAAGUCGAGGGAAACGGACAUCGAAAGCUUGCUUUUGAUGGGCGUCGACCGGCGCACGGGUGAGUAACGCGUAUCCAACCUGCCCACCACUUGGGGAUAACCUUGCGAAAGUAAGACUAAUACCCAAUGAUAUCUCUAGAAGACAUCUGAAAGAGAUUAAAGAUUUAUCGGUGAUGGAUGGGGAUGCGUCUGAUUAGCUUGUUGGCGGGGUAACGGCCCACCAAGGCAACGAUCAGUAGGGGUUCUGAGAGGAAGGUCCCCCACAUUGGAACUGAGACACGGUCCAAACUCAUACGGGAGGCAGCA